GGUCUCAUUUUUUUUGAGUUGUUAGGGAAUUUACGUGGACCCAAAUAAUGCAAGAUUGAAAUCGAAUCGAAGCAUAUGUUGGGCGAAUUUGAACGAACCUGCGUUUGCUUUAUACGAUGCUGAGGAAUGCGUUAAAUUGAGACCUGAUUGGAUCAAGUCUCACUACAGAGAAGGUGUCGCGUGGAUGCUACUCAAAAGCUACGUGAUGGCAUGCAGGGCAUUUUUUAGGGCUAAAGUGUUGGAACCAGAAAAUGAGGAAAUUGAAAAAGCGUUCGGAGAAGCUGUUGUUGCUGCAUCGCGCGAAAUAUGUUCGCAAACCUACCGUUGGAGGACGCCGUGAACAUUUACCGAUAAUGACGUCGUUAUUGUAAUUAUU